rnacentral:misc_RNA from 1 species
GAUGAAGAACGCAGCGAAAUGCGAUAAGUAAUGUGAAUUGCAGAAUUCAGUGAAUCAUCGAAUCUUUGAACGCACCUUGCACCCUUUGGUAUUCCGAAGGGUAUGCUCGUUUGAGUGUCAUUGUACUCUCACACUACUAAUUCCUUUCGGGAUUGGGAGCGGUGGACUUGGGUGUUGCUGCUUUAGUUGUGGCUCACCUCAAAUAAGUUAGUGCAACUCUUGGUUGGACAUAGUACGGCGUGAUAAGUGUCUUCGCCGGCGCCUCUGUAAGGAGGGUGGCCGAUCGGGAGCUCUGUGCUUCAAACCGUCUUCGGACAAUCUUUGACAACUUGACCUCAAAUCGAGUAGGACUACCCGCUGAACUUAAGCAUAUCAAUAAGCGGAGGA